rnacentral:lncRNA from 1 species
CUCUCAUCUGGGCUUGUGGGGCAGGAGAGAAGAGCCCAGUGGGCAAGGUCCAGUGAGUGUGCUUAGAACUGGGAAGAUGAGGGGAAGGGUAAGCGCUGGGCGGCGGUGGGCAAGAUGGACGAGAUUAAACGGGAGCGAGGAUUUCAGCGAGAGCUUUGGCGACACGGAAGGCUGAGAAUCGGAGGGAGCCUGUCGGGCGAAAGCGAAGGCGGCUGCUGGGCAGGCAGCCGAAUCCGGCUGGAGAGCCG